rnacentral:rRNA from 1 species
AAUGGGCGAAAGCCUGAUGCAGCAACGCCGCGUGUGUGAUGAAGGUCUUCGGAUCGUAAAGCACUUUCGAUCGGGACGAAAAACUGAAGGUUAAUAGUCUUCAGCUUGACGGUACCGAGAGAAGAAGCACCGGCUAACUCUGUGCCAGCAGCCGCGGUAAUACAGAGGGUGCAAGCGUUGUUCGGAAUUAUUGGGCGUAAAGCGCGUGUAGGCGGUUUGGUAAGUCGGGUGUGAAAGCCCUCAGCUCAACUGAGGAAGUGCGCUCGAAACUGCUGAACUUGAGUACCUGAGGGGGUGGCGGAAUUCCCGAAGUAGAGGUGAAAUUCGUAGAUAUCGGGAGGAACACCAGUGGCGAAGGCGGCCACCUGGAAGGUAACUGACGCUGAGACGCGAAAGCGUGGGUAGCAAA